UGGAGGAGGAAAGAGCAACCAACUCCAGCAUUGCUGCUUGAGAAAUCCCAUGGACAGAGGAGCCUUGAGGAUUACAGUUCACAGACAGAAACGAGCUGGACACAACUUAUACUUGAGCACUGAGCACAGGUGAAAACUUUUGACCUCCAGGUAACUUCAGGAUAUUUCAGAGGACCCCUGAUUCAUCUCAGAGAGAAAUAUUUAACUAGGAUUACUUGCUAUAUUAAUUACACUUAAAUUUAAUCCCAGUAUUUUAACCAAGUUUCUUUACCAGAUUGCAUUGCAAUCAGAUGUAUACCUAUGCAUCCUCCUCUUUUUUAAACUCUUUCUGUCAUUUAUAAACAGUUAUUGCAUUCAUCUUCAAGAAGCUUUAUGAGAAGGACCACCUUUGACAACUAACAGGCUUCUGAUAAUCUUCAUGUCAUACUGUAACAGGAGGGAAAGGGGCAGGGCACAAUUUUUGAAAGAAUGACAUAGCCAAGGACACAACAUAAACCAAUCAGAAUCAAAUGGGACCAAGAUGGCAGGCAAGACUAGAACUUGAUCCUCAAUCAGUAAGUGAAAGGACACACUCAGAGGUGUCAUGACAGUUCCAAGGCACUUUUAAAAGACCAAGAAGUGGGGCAGAUCCUGGAAAUCUCCACCCCUUCCCAAAAGUAGUUGGAAUAAUCCUCCCACUCAUUAGCAUAUGAAAUUACCCAGCCUAUAAAAACUAACCCUGCCAUAUUUCGGGGCUGCACUUGCCCUCUGUGAUGGCCCACAGUCUGUCUGUGGCAUGUGCUUCUCUCUGAAUCUGAAUAAACCUACUUCUUAGCUAUAACUUUGUCUCUCACUGAAUUCUUUCUGUGAUGAGACAUCAAGAACAUGAACUUUACUAGGUCCUGAAACCAGGUACCAUGGGUUUUGGCUGAGUUUGAGUUCCAGCCAGGUGGGUUCAAGUCCCAAGCAGGAAGACUUCCAGACCAGAAGUUCUCAAAGUGAGGACCCUAGACCAAAAGCGUCAGCACCUUGGGAACUUGCUAGUGGUGCAAGGUUUGGGCUCCCCUCUCCAGACUUAAUGAAUCCGAAAUUCUGUGUUUUAGUAUGCCCUCAACUGAAUGCUUAAGAACCACGGAUCUCGUUUUCCACCAGGCAUUUGGCCCAACGUUUUAUAUGAUCUCUCUCUAGGACACCUGGGCUGGCCCUGAUGUGAGUUGAGAAGACUUCUUUUGCCUUCAACUUGAGGCUGAAACAAGAAGCUGCUCAGCGGCCCAUUCUGUUUCCUCUUCCUGUCACCUACACCCAGGGCCCCACGGUCUUUCAAAGUUGAAAGGCAAACUUCUUAGUGCAAGCACACAUACAUACCUGCACACACAUACACUCGGUCUUUUUGUUUUUAAAACACAGGUGAACAUAUGAUACACAUUUUUGUCCAUCUUGCUUUUGUCACUGAACAUCAUACCCAAGAGAUUCUUCCUGACCAGCACACAGGACUGUGCACUUAGGCAAAGAUCCUGUUGUAGUGGAAAUGGAGAGAGUAGCAGUGAGGCACACACCACAUGAUUCUGACUCUGACUUUGUCUAGGACUCUGAUUCCAUGAUUCAGCACCCCAUCCAGUGUCAACCCCAUCCUGGUCCACUGGCCCCUCCAGUUUGAUCUCACAGAUUUCCUUUUUACAUCUCACCAUGACACCUAGUCCUGACCCAGUCCUGUUUCUGCUUCUCCUUUCCUGUCACAACGACAACAUCCCAGAAAGCUUAUGCUUUGUGUACCCAACACAGGGUGAGGCCAGGCUCCUUGGCUCCAGGGAGCCCGCUUGUCCAUGAGGCACACCUUUCAGAUUCAAAUGCCGCACCAGCAGAUUAAUUUCCAAGACAGGGGACGCAGUGUCAUGACCUUGGAGAGCUCUCUGUUGUCUAAUCCUGGGAUGUACUCUCUGUCUCCAUGGGGAAAGGAGGUGGCUUCUGGUCCCAGGUGGCAUUCAGACUCCAAAGGCCGACUGCAGGAAAGAGGGUUUGAUUCCUGAUCCAGGAGGAUCCCACAUGCUACAGAGCAACUGAGCCCGUGCUCCGCAACUAUUGACCCGACUCCAACUACUGAGGCCCACGUCCCAGAGCCAGUGCUCCAUAACAAGCAAAGCCCUCAAAUGAGAAAUCUGCACACUGCAACUAGAGAGUAGCCCCUGCUAGAGAAAGACCAAUCGGCGAUGAAGACCCGGCAAGGCCAAUGAAUACAUAAAUAAAAAGAACCUAUAAUUUUCUAAAAACCUUGAAUGGAAGCUCUUGUUUGGUACCAUUCUAUAAAGUUGCAUAAAGUUAUACAAUUGCUCAUUCACUAUGUAUAUACCUCUCUGUCUUUGCAGCCUAAUAAACAACCUCAAAACUUUGGGGCUUAAACUCA